rnacentral:rRNA from 1 species
GACGAACGCUGGCGGCGUGCUUAACACAUGCAAGUCGAACGGAAAGGCCCUGCUUUUGUGGGGUGCUCGAGUGGCGAACGGGUGAGUAACACGUGAGUAACCUGCCCUUGACUUUGGGAUAACUUCAGGAAACUGGGGCUAAUACCGGAUAGGAGCUCCUGCUGCAUGGUGGGGGUUGGAAAGUUUCGGCGGUUGGGGAUGGACUCGCGGCUUAUCAGCUUGUUGGUGGGGUAGUGGCUUACCAAGGCUUUGACGGGUAGCCGGCCUGAGAGGGUGACCGGCCAAAUUGGGACUGGAGUACGGCCCAAACCCUUACGGGGGGCAGCGGGGGGGAAUAUUGCACAAUGGGCGGAGGCCGGAUGCAGCAACGCCGGGUGGGGGAGGACGGCCUUGGGGUGGUAAACCGCUUUCGCCGGUGACGAGGGGGGGGUGACGGUAAUGGGUAAAGAAGCACCGGCUAACUACGU